UACGUAGGUGUCGAGCGUUAUUCGGAUUUACUGGGCGUAAAGCGCACCGAGGUGGCUUCUUAAGUUGGAUGUGAAAUCUCCUGGCUUAACUGGGAGACGCCAUUCAAAACUGGGGAGCUUGAGGUCAGCAGGGGAAAGUGGAAUUCCCGGUGUAGUGGUGGAAUGCGUAGAGAUCGGGAGGAACACCAGUGGCGAAAGCGACUUUCUGGGCUGCACCUGACACUCUAGUGCGAAAGCGUGGGGAGCAAACAGG
rnacentral:rRNA from 1 species